AUUGAACGCUGGCGGCAUGCUUUACACAUGCAAGUCGAACGGCAGCGCGGGCUUCGGCCUGGCGGCGAGUGGCGAACGGGUGAGUAAUACAUUGGAACGUGCCCAGUAGUGGGGGAUAGCUCGGCGAAAGCCGGAUUAAUACCGCAUACGACCUGAGGGUGAAAGCGGGGGAUCUUCGGACCUCGCGCUAUUGGAGCGGCCGAUGGCAGAUUAGCUAGUUGGUGGGGUAAAGGCCUACCAAGGCGACGAUCUGUAGCUGGUCUGAGAGGACGACCAGCCACACUGGGACUGAGACACGGCCCAGACUCCUACGGGAGGCAGCAGUGGGGAAUUUUGGACAAUGGGCGAAAGCCUGAUCCAGCAAUGCCGCGUGUGUGAUGAAGGCCUUCGGGUUGUAAAGCACUUUUGGCGGGAACGAAAAGGACUGUGCCAAUACCACGGUUCGAUGACGGUACCCGCAGAAUAAGCACCGGCUAACUACGCG
rnacentral:rRNA from 1 species